rnacentral:rRNA from 1 species
CGUGUAGGCGGUUGGUUAAGUCGGGUGUGAAAGCCCGGGGCUCAGCUCCGGAAGUGCGCCCGAAACUGGCCAGCUGGAGCGCGGUAGAGGAGGGUGGAAUUCCUGGUGUAGCGGUGAAAUGCGUAGAUAUCAGGAGGAACACCGGCGGCGAAGGCGGCCCUCUGGACCGUUGCUGACGCUGAGACGCGAAAGCGUGGGAGCAAACA